GUACAAUAAAAGAGUGGCCAUCAGCCCUCUCUGCAUCUAUCCUGAUGUGUACAUUGGAUUGGGACACCAACAUAUGGUGACCCUGACAUGAUCCAAGAUCGGCGGUAUUAUUGGAGGAACCAGGGUACCCCGACAACAACAUACAGGCCUGCACCAAAAGGAAGAAGAACCUCUGGUGAUGUAUGCUGACAAUUUACCUUUUUGUAUGGUUUAUCAAAACAAAAGCACAACAUGUGUCACCUUUCAGGAACAAAUGUAUUUUUAUUACCAACCUAAGAAAGGACAACAGACAGCCAAUCUGACACACAUUACUGCUAUAUCAACAUCUUACGAAGACAAAAGUAAUGUCACAGAAGUUCCUUCCAUCCCAAUUUGCCAUCCAAAAACUGAUUGGCGUUACAAACAUUACUCAGUACAGUGGUCCCCUUGCUGUACAGCAUAUCCAAGGAGGGGCAACAUCUUUGGGGCCAACGUGCUGGAUUAGGGACCUCAUGGACAUCUUUUGAGUGACAAUCAUACUUGGGCCUCCAACAUAUCAAGUCAGAAACCUAUAACAUGGAGCAAACACAGCCUAUCUGGACCCCUUUUACAACUAUCUUACAAUGAGACAGUGUAAAGCCCCCUUCACAAAGGAACGUGGAGGAUCGGGUUGCCUUUUAUAUCACAACAAUUUUCCCAUGGCAAGUAUGGGAAUGAAACUGGCAAUUAUUUACUAACAUUGGUCAAAAAUGUUUCUGAUACCGUUAUGAUUUGUACCACCCAUCCUUAUGUGUUAUUAUGGGGAAACAGUGUCCCUGCUAUCCAAGAAUCUUCUGGUAUGUACGUGGUUAAUAUUUCUCCCCCAUAUUUGUAUUCUGAUUGUUUAACACAUUAUAAUGUAACCUCAUUGAAUGUGACCUAUGUAAUGGCGUUAAAAAGAAAAGCACAUAAUUGGUUACCU
rnacentral:lncRNA from 1 species